rnacentral:rRNA from 1 species
UACGGAGGGGGCAAGCGUUACUCGGAAUUAUUGGGCGUAAAGGGCGCGUAGGCGGUCUCGUGCGUCGGAGGUGAAAUCCCCGGGCUUAACCCGGGAGCUGCCUCCGAUACGGCGGGACUUGCGUCCGGGAGAGGGGAGCAGAAUUCCCAGUGUAGCGGUGAAAUGUGUAGAUAUUGGGAGGAAUACCAGUGGCGAAGGCGGCUCCCUGGACCGGUACUGACGCUGAGGCGCGAAAGCGUGGGUAGCAAACAGG